AUUGAACGCUGGCGGCAGGCCUAACACAUGCAAGUCGAACGAGUGGCGGACGGGUGAGUAAUGUCUGGGAAACGGCCUGAUGGAGGGGGAUAACUACUGGAAACGGUAGCUAAUACCGCAUACCAUCGGAUGUGCCCAGAUGGGAUUAGCUAGGAGGUGGGGUAAAGGCUCACCUAGGCGACGAUCCCUAUCUGGUCUGAGAGGAUGACCAGCCACCCUGGAACUGAGACACGGGCCAGACUCCUACGGUAGGCAGGAGUGGGGAAUAUUGGACAAUGGGCGCAAGCCUGAUGCAGCCAUGCCGCGUGUCUGAAGAAGGCCUUCGGGUUUUAAGGUACUUUCAGCGAGGAGGCGUUACGCGCAGAAGAAGCACCGGCUAACUCCGUGCCAGCAGCCGCGGUAAUAC
rnacentral:rRNA from 1 species